AGUGUAGGCGGCUACUUAAGUCGGAUGUGAAAUCCCCGGGCUCAACCUGGGAAUUGCAUUCGAUACUGGGUAGCUAGAAUUUGGUAGAGGUAAGUGGAAUUCCGGGUGUAGCGGUGAAAUGCGUAGAUAUCCGGAGGAACAUCAGUGGCGAAGGCGGCUUACUGGACCAAAAUUGACGCUGAGGCUCGAAAGCGUGGGGAGCAAACAGGAUUAGAUACCCUGGUAGUC
rnacentral:rRNA from 1 species